UGUGGAGGUGCAAGGGCCAGAGCACAACUCUUCCGCCUUCCUCCUCACAGGACUCUGCCUCUCUACCUUUGUCACCUCCCCAAAAGGAGCAUGGAAACCUUGCAUCAUUAAGGACAGAGAGACACAUUCCAACUUUGCAGCAGAGAAUGGUUCACAACAGCAAGCAAACAGCACCGCUUCGUUUCUAUCGGCAGUUCAAAAUGGCAGCAGGAAAGAGGAUUAUCUGCAACAUGUUACGUAGACGUUACAAGUGGGCUGGUGCCCAGACGGAAGCAAUGGAUGUUGUUUAUGAGGCCAUCUGUCCAGGCCAGGAAUCACGUGUACAAGGAAAGUGGCAACGUCAAGGCCACAGAGAAAGAAAAGCUCAGGCCAAGGAGCUGAGACCUCGUGGUUGUGGCUCCCAGUCGCUUAUGACUCAGUCCAAGGAACAGAGAGAACUUCAAGGCAUUCUGAGCAGGACAGGCUCACAAACAAUUCUAACUUCCUUCCACCGUGACUUCAAAGAGCGCCGGUUGGCGAGACACAAAACCAAAGACUGGAGACUACGUUCUCUGCGUCAAGCACAUAUGAACAGAGAGGAGAUGGCAGAGUCAGUGACUGUCCUCCUCUUGGCAAGAUCUCUUCCACAGACAUAUUUUUAAGGUAAAAGCAACGAUCUAGCGCGAUCUGAUGAGAUUAGCCGUAAAGCCAGGCGUGACGGCACACACCAGUAACUUUAGCGCUGGGAGGCUGAGACAGUAGGAUCGAUGUGAGCUUGAGUGCCGGACAUUGAAAUUCAUCACGUUUCCUGUGGACACACAGCAGCCUGCCAGAUUCGACAUCUAGAACAUGCCCGCCAAGUCCCAGUGGAAGUGCUGCCAACUGGUCUCCAAGGAAACUGCACCAAUUUUCACUCCCAGCAGUAGUGAGUUCCUGGGGUUAAGCUUCCUCAUCAAUAGCCCACAUUUAAUUUUCUUGUCCAUCUGAAUGGUAAAAAACAAUGGUGUUUUGUUUCAACACGCA